rnacentral:rRNA from 1 species
AAGCGGAGGAGCAUGUGGUUUAAUUCGAUGAUACGCGAGGAACCUUACCUGGGCUCGAACGUAAGAUGACUGUAGGUGAAAGCUUACAUCUCUUCGGAGCAUUUUACGAGGUGCUGCAUGGUUGUCGUCAGCUCGUGCCGUGAGGUGUCGGGUUAAGUCCCAUAACGAGCGCAACCCCUACCUUUAGUUGCCAUCAGGUAAUGCUGGGGACUCUAAAGGAACUGCCUACGCAAGUAGUGAGGAAGGCGGGGAUGACGUCAAAUCAGCACGGCCCUUACGUCCAGGGCUACACACGUGCUACAAUGGCCGAUACAGAGGGCAGCUACCUGGUGACAGGAUGCAAAUCUCCAAAGUCGGUCUCAGUUCGGAUCGGAGUCUGCAACCCGACUCCGUGAAGUUGGAUUCGCUAGUAAUCGUGAAUCAGAAUGUCACGGUGAAUACGUUCCCGGGCCUU